rnacentral:rRNA from 1 species
CAGUCGCCACGGUAAUACGAAGGGUGCAAGCGUUACUCGGAAUUACUGGGCGUAAAGCGUGCGUAGGUGGUUGUUUAAGUCUGCUGUGAAAGCCCUGGGCUCAACCUGGGAAUUGCAGUGGAUACUGGGCAACUAGAGUAAGGUAGAGGAUAGUGGAAUUUCCGGUGUAGCAGUGAAAUGCGUAGAGAUCGGGAGGAACAUCUGUGGCGAAGGCGACUAUCUGGGCCAUUACUGACACUGAGGCACGAAAGCGUGGGGAGCAACAGGAUUAGAUACCCCCGUAGUCCCUGUCUCUUAUACA